CAGUAGCCGCGGGAAUACGUAGGGUGCGAGCGUUAAUCGGAAUUACCGGGCGUAAAGCGUGCGCAGGCGGUUAUAUAAGACAGAUGUGAAAUCCCCGGGCUUAACCUGGGAACUGCAUUUGUGACUGGCAAGCUAGAGUAUGGCAGAGGGGGGUGGAAUUCCGCGUGUAGCAGUGAAAUGCGUAGAUAUGCGGAGGAACACCGAUGGCGAAGGCAGCCCCCUGGGCCAAUACUGACGCUCAUGCACGAAAGCGUGGGGAGCAAACAGGAUUAGAUACCCGAGUAGUCCCUGUCUCUUAUAC
rnacentral:rRNA from 1 species